GUGGGGAAUAUUGGACAAUGGGCGAAAGCCUGAUCCAGCCAUGCCGCGUGUGUGAAGAAGGUCUUCGGAUUGUAAAGCACUUUAAGUUGGGAGGAAGGGCAGUAAGUUAAUACCUUGCUGUUUUGACGUUACCGACAGAAUAAGCACCGGCUAACUUCGUGCCAGCAGCCGCGGUAAUACGAAGGGUGCAAGCGUUAAUCGGAAUUACUGGCGUAAAGCGCGCGUAGGUGGUUUUGUAAGUUGGAGGUGAAAUCCCCGGGCUCAACCUGGGAACUGCCUCCAAAACUGCAUGACUAGAGUACGGUAGAGGGUAGUGGAAUUUCCUGUGUAGCGGUGAAAUGCGUAGAUAUAGGAAGGAACACCAGUGGCGAAGGCGACUACCUGGACUGAUACUGACACUGAGGUGCGAAAGCGUGGGGAGCAAACAGGAUUAGAUACCCUAGUAGUCC
rnacentral:rRNA from 1 species